UACAGAGGGGCAAGCGUUGUUCGGAAUUACUGGGCGUAAAGGGCGCGUAGGCGGCCUGCUAAGUCGAACGUGAAAUCCCUGGGCUCAACCCAGGAACUGCGUCCGAUACUGGUUGGCUUGAAUCCGGGAGAGGGAUGUGGAAUUCCUGGUGUAGCGGUGAAAUGCGCGGAUAUCAGGAGGAACACCUGCGGCGAAGGCGGGUUGCUGGGCCGACACUGACGCUGAUGCGCGAAAGCCAGGGAGCGAACGGG
rnacentral:rRNA from 1 species